rnacentral:rRNA from 1 species
UGCCUUGGCUCUCGGAGGCGAUGAAGGACGUGAUAAGCUGCGAUAAGCUUCGGGUAGGUGCAAAUGACCAUUGAUCCGA